GACGAACGCUGGCGGCGUGCUUAACACAUGCAAGUCGAGCGGUAAGGCCCUUUCGGGGGUACGACGAGCGGCGAACGGGUGAGUAACACGUGGGUGACCUGCCUCAGCUCUGGGAUAAGCCUGGGAAACCGGGUCUAAUACCGGAUAUGACUCCAUGACGCAUGUUGUGGGGUGGAAAGCCUUGUGCGGCUGAGGAUGGGCCCGCGGCCUAUCAGCUUGUUGGUGGGGUGAUGGCCUACCAAGGCGACGACGGGUAGCCGGCCUGAGAGGGCGACCGGCCACACUGGGACUGAGACACGGCCCAGACUCCUACGGGAGGCAGCAGUGGGGAAUCUCGCGCAAUGGGCGAAAGCCUGACGCAGCGACGCCGCGUGAGGGAUGACGGCCU
rnacentral:rRNA from 1 species